UCUAAAACUUGAGAUAUGGGCCGAACACUGAACAGUGUCUGGGCUGCAGGAUAGAUUUCGACUUCUCUGUUAUUGCUACAAUUUGAACUUGAAUACAUCAUUUUUAAAUCUUGGACUCUUCAUGAAAGUUUUAGGCCUAUUUCUUAGCUUUUCAUC
rfam:Populus trichocarpa scaffold_5_contig_309, whole genome shotgun sequence.